rnacentral:rRNA from 1 species
UACAGAGGUCUCAAGCGUUGUUCGGAUUCAUUGGGCGUAAAGGGUGCGUAGGUGGUGCUGUAAGUCAGGCGUGAAAUCUCGGGGCUCAACCCCGAAACUGCACUUGAUACUGCAGUGCUCGAGGACUGGAGAGGAGAUUGGAAUUCAUGGUGUAGCAGUGAAAUGCGUAGAUAUCAUGAGGAAGACCAGUGGCGAAGGCGGAUCUCUGGACAGUUCCUGACACUGAGGCACGAAGGCCAGGGGAGCAAACAGG